rnacentral:rRNA from 1 species
GACGAACGCUGGCGGCGUGCUUAACACAUGCAAGUCGAACGGAAAGGCCCUGCUUGCAGGGUACUCGAGUGGCGAACGGGUGAGUAACACGUGGGUGAUCUGCCCUGCACUUCGGGAUAAGCCUGGGAAACUGGGUCUAAUACCGGAUAGGAGCCAUUUUUAGUGUGAUGGUUGGAAAGUUUUUUCGGUGUAGGAUGAGCUCGCGGCCUAUCAGCUUGUUGGUGGGGUAAUGGCCUACCAAGGCGGCGACGGGUAGCCGGCCUGAGAGGGUGGACGGCCACAUUGGGACUGAGAGACGGCCCAGACGCCGACGGGAGGCAGCAGUGGGGAAUAUUGCACAAUGGGCGCAAGCCUGAUGCAGCGACGCCGCGUGGGGGAUGACGGCCUUCGGGUUGUAAACUCCUUUCGCUAGGGACGAAGCUUUUUGUGACGGUACCUAGAUAAGAAGCACCGGCUAACUACGUG